GUUGGGUAGGGGAGCGUUCUGUAAGCCUGUGAAGGUGGCCUGUGAGGGUUGCUGGAGGUAUCAGAAGUGCGAAUGCUGACAUAAGUAACGAUAAAGCGGGUGAAAAGCCCGCUCGCCGGAAGACCAAGGGUUCCUGUCCAACGUUAAUCGGGGCAGGGUGAGUCGACCCCUAAGGCGAGGCCGAAAGGCGUAGUCGAUGGGAAACGGGUUAAUAUUCCCGUACUUGGUGUUACUGCGAAGGGGGGACGGAGAAGGCUAUGUUGGCCGGGCGACGGUUGUCCCGGUUUAAGCGUGUAGGUGUGUGUUCCAGGUAAAUCCGGUUCACUUUAACACUGAGGCGUGAUGACGAGGCACUACGGUGCUGAAGCAACAAAUGCCCUGCUUCCAGGAAAAGCCUCUAAGCAUCAGGUAACAUCAAAUCGUACCCCAAACCGACACAGGUGGUCAGGUAGAGAAUACCAAGGCGCUUGAGAGAACUCGGGUGAAGGAACUAGGCAAAAUGGUGCCGUAACUUCGGGAGAAGGCACGCUGACACGUAGGUGAAGUGAUUUACUCAUGGAGCUGAAGUCAGUCGAAGAUACCAGCUGGCUGCAACUGUUUAUUAAAAACACAGCACUGUGCAAACACGAAAGUGGACGUAUACGGUGUGACGCCUGCCCGGUGCCGGAAGGUUAAUUGAUGGGGUCAGCGCAAGCGAAGCUCCUGAUCGAAGCCCCGGUAAACGGCGGCCGUAACUAUAACGGUCCUAAGGUAGCGAAAUUCCUUGUCGGGUAAGUUCCGACCUGCACGAAUGGCGUAAUGAUGGCCAGGCUGUCUCCACCCGAGACUCAGUGAAAUUGAACUCGCUGUGAAGAUGCAGUGUACCCGCGGCAAGACGGAAAGACCCCGUGAACCUUUACUAUAGCUUGACACUGAACAUUGAGCCUUGAUGUGUAGGAUAGGUGGGAGGCUUUGAAGCGUGGACGCCAGUCUGCGUGGAGCCGACCUUGAAAUACCACCCUUUAAUGUUUGAUGUUCUAACGUGGACCCGUAAUCCGGGUUGCGGACAGUGUCUGGUGGGUAGUUUGACUGGGGCGGUCUCCUCCUAAAGAGUAACGGAGGAGCACGAAGGUUGGCUAAUCCUGGUCGGACAUCAGGAGGUUAGUGCAAUGGCAUAAGCCAGCUUGACUGCGAGCGUGACGGCGCGAGCAGGUGCGAAAGCAGGUCAUAGUGAUCCGGUGGUUCUGAAUGGAAGGGCCAUCGCUCAACGGAUAAAAGGUACUCCGGGGAUAACAGGCUGAUACCGCCCAAGAGUUCAUAUCGACGGCGGUGUUUGGCACCUCGAUGUCGGCUCAUCACAUCCUGGGGCUGAAGUAGGUCCCAAGGGUAUGGCUGUUCGCCAUUUAAAGUGGUACGCGAGCUGGGUUUAGAACGUCGUGAGACAGUUCGGUCCCUAUCUGCCGUGGGCGCUGGAGAACUGAGGGGGGCUGCUCCUAGUACGAGAGGACCGGAGUGGACGCAUCACUGGUGUUCGGGUUGUCAUGCCAAUGGCACUGCCCGGUAGCUAAAUGCGGAAGAGAUAAGUGCUGAAAGCAUCUAAGCACGAAACUUGCCCCGAGAUGAGUUCUCCCUGAGACUUAGAGUCUCCUGAAGGAACGUUGAAGACGACGACGUUGAUAGGCCGGGUGUGUAAGCGCAGCGAUGCGUUGAGCUAACCGGUACUAAUGAACCGUGAGGCUUAACCUUACAACGCCGAAG
rnacentral:rRNA from 1 species